rnacentral:antisense_RNA from 1 species
UCAGUUCGGAACGUGGCUUUUAAAAAUGCGUUUUUAAAUAGUGUCUUGAAGAAGUGUAGGAGAGAUCUACACAGCUUAAGUGGGGCGUCCCCAUCCCAUCUUCCUGCGCACCCUCCUUUGCCCCCAACUCCAUCUCUGCGACACUUCCCCACCCCCACCCCCCCAAAAAAAGAAGUCACUCCCGGGCUCUGUCUGCAGAGAGCCAGGGUGAGAGCGGGCAAGGCAAAAGAGCGACCUCGGUCGUGGGCAAGUAGCUUGUUUUUACGUCCUUCAAUAAAAUUUUUAUGAGGAUAA